GCUGAUGCCGUGGGGUGAGGGAGGAGGAGGGAGCCCGGGGAGCCAGGCCGAGAGCAUUGGCAGAGGAAGAAAGAGAGGAGGGGAAAAAUGUAUCCUGAAAUGAACAACUGCAGACAAAGGGCCAAGUCUGGCUCCCCCCCUUCCUUAAACCUUACACCAUGAGUAAUCCCGGCUCCGCAGCGCAGUCACCGCGUGCGGGAGUCAGGGCAGAAGCAGAAUCCGGGGCUGUUCUCAUCCUCAUCCUCUCACUGAUUUUCAAACAAGAAUAAACUCAGCUUUUCCUGUUCAAGCUGCUCUGCCACAGCAGAAAAGAUUUCAGCUUUCUGUCAACCUGAUGGCAAAACGAAGUCGUUCCCUUCCAGGUAACCGCCUCUGAUUGAGAACAUCCGCUCACCAAAGGCUUUCAGUGCUCUGGUGGGGGAAGAAGAAGAGGAGAAAAACCCCCAAACCCGUCCAUACACAGUGCCCCUGCAGCUGCCCCACACACCGUGACCCCAUAGCUGUGGGGUUCUGGUGCUGUCGGUGUGUCUGGCAGAGGUGUGCCUCCAUCCCGCUGCAUCCCACUGCAUCCCACAUCCCUCUGCAUCCCACAUCCCUCUGCCAGGCUCUGCAGCUCCUUCCAAACAAAGAGGGAUCUCUGGGCCGCCCUCCAUCCACCACCUCCCCUCGGUGGAAGCCUGCCCACGUCUUUUUGUGCAAAUCCUUCCCUCUCGGAUGCUAUUUGAUGUCUUCAAAGGGGCUAUUCUUAUGUGGAGAAAAGAGGGCGAGCUCAGGUCUGACAAGGCUCUUCGCUCGCAGCGCAGCUAUUUUUUCACUCGGAAGAGUGCCAGUUUGGGAUUUCAAGACAAAAAAAGAAAUAAAUAAAAUACAUAUAUUCUCUUUUUCACAGGCUGAUAUUUGGGUGAAGAACUCGCAAAGUUGGGACACUGCAUCACCACGGGGAUGGGGAGGGAGGAAGGGGAGUGAGCACAUGGCUCUG
rnacentral:lncRNA from 1 species